UACGGAGGGUGCGAGCGUUGUCCGGAAUCACUGGGCGUAAAGGGCGCGUAGGCGGCCUGAUAAGUAGGGGGUGAAAUCCUGCGGCUUAACCGCAGGGCUGCCUUCUAAACUGUCAGGCUGGAGCACAGUAGAGGCAGGUGGAAUUCCCGGUGUAGCGGUGGAAUGCGUAGAGAUCGGCAAGAACACCAGUGGCGAAGGCGGCUCACUGGCCCGGUACUGACGCUGAGGUGCGAAAGCGUGGGGAGCAAACAGG
rnacentral:rRNA from 1 species